rnacentral:rRNA from 1 species
AUUGAACGCUGGCGGCAGGCCUAACACAUGCAAGUCGAGCGGAUGACAGGAGCUUGCUCCUGGAUUCAGCGGCGGACGGGUGAGUAAUGCCUAGGAAUCUGCCUGGUAGUGGGGGACAACGUUUCGAAAGGAACGCUAAUACCGCAUACGUCCUACGGGAGAAAGCAGGGGACCUUCGGGCCUUGCUCUAUCAGAUGAGCCUAGGUCGGAUUAGCUAGUUGGUGAGGUAAUGGCUCACCAAGGCGACGAUCCGUAACUGGUCUGAGAGGAUGAUCAGUCACACUGGAACUGAGACACGGUCCAGACUCCUACGGGAGGCAGCAGUGGGGAAUAUUGGACAAUGGGCGAAAGCCUGAUCCAGCCAUGCCGCGUGUGUGAAGAAGGUCUUCGGAUUGUAAAGCACUUUAAGUUGGGAGGAAGGGUUGUAGAUUAACACUCUGCAAUUUUGACGUUACCGACAGAAUAAGCACCGGCUAACUCUGUGCCAGCCGCCGCCGUAACAC